UCUGCUUGGCCAACAGCCUGGGUGUCCGGCCGCGGGGGGCGUCGCCUCCCGUCGGGGAAGGGGAGGGAGGUGGGCCCCUCCCGCGGCUGCGCGUCACUUCCGGGAGCGCCGGAAGUGCUGGAGCAGGCUGGGCGGCCGCAGGGCAUGCUGGGGCGUGUAGUCCGCGGCCGGGUCGCCGUAGAGCCCGGGCAGUCCCGACGUCUCGGCCACACGCAGCCGCACCUGCCCGGAGAUCAGUAAGACGUCCGCCCCCGGGAUAAGCGCCGGCCCGCACACAGCCGGUCCGGAAGGAGACUGCAACCGGGCUGAUGGCGAGCCACACCCCUAGGGCCGGGAUCCCGGGCGGGCUUUCCGGCGCUCACGCCGAUUGGUUCGGCGCGUCACGUGAGCUGUGCUCUGCGUCUGGUUGGCUGUCCCGGCGGUUGUCCGGGUGACGGGCGGGCGGGGCCGGCUGCGGGCUGCAGAUGGGAGCCCGGGGUGCUGAGGAUGCGGGCGCCGAGCAGGGAGCUUUUCCGGGAUGCCGCCUUCCCCGCUUCUGACUCGUCCCUUUUCUCCAGCUUCUCCACGCCACUGGCCCAGUUCCGGGGGGACAUCACGUGGCGGCGACCCCAGGAGAUCUGCGCGUCCCCCCAGCUGUUCGCGGACAGCCCCCGAGAGGGGCAGGUGAAGCAGGGGCUGCUGGGAGACUGCUGGUUCCUGUGUGCCUGUGCAGCCCUGAGCCGGAGCCGCCGCCUCCUGCACCAGGUCUUCCCUGCUGGCCAGCCAUGCUGGCGCGAGCCCGCCUACCGGGGCGCCUUCACCUGCCGGGUGUGGCGGUUCGGGCAGUGGGUGGAGGUAACCGUGGAUGACCGCCUGCCGUGCCUGGCCGGGAGACUGUGCUUCUCACGCUGCCACAAGGAGGACGUGUUCUGGCUGCCCUUGCUGGAGAAGGUGUACGCCAAGCUCUACGGGUCCUACGAGCACCUGUGGGCAGGUCAGGUGGCAGACGCCCUGGUGGACCUGACGGGCGGACUGGCGGAGCGGUGGAGCCUGAAGGACGCCGCUGAGCCCCCAGAGGAUGGCCAUGGGCCCCGGACCUGCCAGCGGCUGCUGAGCCUCCAGGACCAAUGCCCCAUCAGCUGCUCGGUGCUCAGCCCCAGGGCCGGGGCCAGGGACCUGGGGGAGUUUCAUGCCUUCAUUGUCUCGGGUCUGCAAGAACUCCAGGACCAGGCGGGCCAGAGCCUCCUGCUGCUGCGGAUUCACAACCCCUGGGGCCGCAGGUGUUGGCAGGGGCCUUGGAGAGAGGGGGGCGAAGGGUGGAGCCGCCUUUCCGCGGCCACUGCGUGUGCACUGCUGGGCCAGCUGCAGGCGGGGGAGUUCUGGGUGGAAGAGACGGAGUUCCUCCGUGAGUUUGACGAGGUGACCAUCGGCUUCCCGCGCUCAGAGUCCGGCCACCUGCAGAGCCUCUGCUCAGGACAGGAGCUGUGCCACACGCAGCAGCUGCAGGGCGCCUGGGUCCGCGGGCAGUCGGCCGGAGGCUGCCGGAACAACAGAGGCUUCCCCAGCAACCCCAAGUUCUGGCUCCGGGUGUCGGAGCCCAGCGAGGUGUAUGCGUCCGUGCUGCAGCAGCCGGGACUGCGGGUGGCAGCCGACUCCGCGGGGACCGCCAGCUCCCUGGGCAGCAGCCACCAGGCCGUGGGCCUGCACAUCUGGAAGGUGGAGAAGCGGCGGGUCAGCCUGCCCAGAGUCCUGUCUGCGCCUCCUGUGGCGGGCACUGUGUGCCACGCAUAUGACCGGGAGGUCCACCUGCGCUGUGAGCUGUCCCCUGGACACUACCUGGCUGUGCCCAGCACCUUCCUGAAGGAUGUGCCCGGACGCUUCCUGCUGCGUGUGUUCUCCACUGGGAGAGUGGCCCUCAGCGCCCUCAGGCCGGCCCCUGCAAGCCCCACGGCUGGGGAGUGGGAGACGGUGCGUCUGCACGGCUGCUGGCAGAGUGGCCGGUCUGCGGGGGGCAGCAGGAACUUCGCGUCGUACCCCAGCAACCCCAGCUUCCCGCUGCUGGUGCCCGCGGGCGCGCCCCGCUGCGUGCGCAUCUCCCUGCGCCAGCACUGCCGGACCACCCAGUGCCACCCCAUCGGCUUCCACGUCUUCCAGGUCCCCGAGGACGGCGACGCCCCGGGCCAGCCGCCCCUGCUGCUGCGGGAGCCCGUGCUGAGCUGCGUGCCCCACAGCCACGCCCCCGAGGUGAGCCAGCUCUGCCAGCUGGCCCCGGGCGCCUACCGCGUGGUGCCCUCCACCUACCUGCCCGACACCGAGGGCACCUUCACCCUGCUGCUCGCCACCAGGAUCGACAGGCGCUCCAUCCACAGCCGGGAGCUGCUGGGCCAGCCCCUGCAGGAGACCCUGCGGGAAGACGCUGCCUCCCACCACCUGCUCAGCCUGCACACCGCUUGGAGCACUGCUGGAGCUGCUAUGGGAGCACUGCUGGGAGAACUUCUAGGUGUCCUGCUGGGAGCACUGUUAGUGGCUUCACUGGGAGUCCUGUUGGAUAACUCCCAGAAGUGAGGCUCUCUCCUGUUCCCUGCUGGGAGCACCUCUGGAAGUCCUGCUGGGAGCACUCCCAGAAGUGAGUCUCUCUCCUGUCCCCUGCUGGGAGCACCUCUGGAAGUCCUGCUGGGAGCACUCCCAAAAGAAGCCUCCGGUCCUGCACCCCCGCCCAUCGUGGGCUGGUCUGUCUGCUGUGGUCACGGCCACCACCCCUCCUGCCUGACUCCAGCCCAGCGCUCUGCUCCGUCACCCCACUCAGGAGGGAGGGCAGCCUGGGACACCCCAGCC